GGGGAACAUCCAGAAGUUGAGAUGUUGCCCGAUACAUUCUUCCUAGAGAAUUACAGCUUCCCUAUUUUCCUACUUGUGGUACUUGAAGAAAAACCAUAGGUCUCAUACUGGGAGAUACAUGA